UACGAGGGGGGCGAGCGUUGUUCGGAAUUAUUGGGCGUAAAGGGUGCGUAGGCGGUCUGGUAAGUCUUGUGUGAAAUCUACAGGCUCAACUUGUAGUCUGCACGAGAAACUGCCGGGCUUGAGUAUGGGAGAGGUGAGUGGAAUUCCUGGUGUGGCGGUGAAAUGCGUAGAUAUCAGGAGGAACACCUGUGGCGAAAGCGGCUCACUGGACCAUAACUGACGCUGAUGCACGAAAGCUAGGGGAGCAAACAGG
rnacentral:rRNA from 1 species